rnacentral:rRNA from 1 species
GCUGCAUGAAGCUGGAAUCGCUAGUAAUCGCGGAUCAGAAUGCCGCGGUGAAUACGUUCCCGGGUCUUGUACACACCGCCCGUCACACCAUGGGAGUCGGGAAUGCCCGAAGUCAGUGACCCAACCGAAAGGGGGGAGCUGCCGAAGGCAGGCCUGGUAACUGGGGUGAAGUCGUAACAAGGUAGC